UACGAAGGGGGCGAGCGUUGUUCGGAUUUACUGGGCGUAAAGGGCGCGCAGGCGGUUCUGUUUGUCGAGUGUGAAAGCCCCGGGCUCAACCUGGGAACUGCGCUCGAAACGGCGGAACUAGAGUUCGGGAGAGGAGAGUGGAAUUCCCAGUGUAGAGGUGAAAUUCGUAGAUAUUGGGAAGAACACCGGUGGCGAAGGCGGCUCUCUGGACCGAUACUGACGCUGAGGCGCGAAAGCGUGGGGAGCAAACGGG
rnacentral:rRNA from 1 species